rnacentral:rRNA from 1 species
AGAUUGAACGCUGGCGGCAGGCCUAACACAUGCAAGUCGAGCGGUAGAGAGGUGCUUGCAUCUCUUGAGAGCGGCGGACGGGUGAGUAAUGCCUAGGAAUCUGCCUAGUGGUGGGGGAUAACGUUCGGAAACGGACGCUAAUACCGCAUACGUCCUACGGGAGAAAGCGGGGGACCUUCGGGCCUCGCGCCAUUAGAUGAGCCUAGGUCGGAUUAGCUAGUUGGUGAGGUAAUGGCUCACCAAGGCGACGAUCCGUAACUGGUCUGAGAGGAUGAUCAGUCACACUGGAACUGAGACCACGGUCCAGACUCCGUACGGGAGGCAGACA